CAUGCCAUACCAGUGUCUCCACACUAUUUAUUUACAAGGAUAACUAACGGAUAUGUUACACAAUGACCUACACUUGAUAUCGCUAUCAUCCUAGUAAUAGCGUAUCAUUUGGUUGCAAACCAAUUUAAGGAUUACACGAUAAAUCCUCCUUUAUCGAUCAAAGUAAUUCUAAGAACUUUAUCAUAACAUAGGAGUUUGUUAGAAGAUGUAAUCUUAUGA
rnacentral:lncRNA from 1 species